CAGCCGCCGCGGUAAUACCGGCGGCCCGAGUGGCGGUCACUAUUAUUGGGCUUAAAGCGUCCGUAGCCGGGUUGGGAAGGCCUCCGGGAAAUCUGGCCGCUUAACGGUCAGAAUGCCGGAGGAUACUCCCAGCCUAGGGAGCGGGAGAGGCCGAGGGGAUUCCCGGAGGAGGGGGGAAAUCCUAUAAUCCCGGGAGGACCACCUGUGGCGAAGGCGCUCGGCUGGAACGCGUCCGACGGUGAGGGACGAAGGCCAGGGGAGCAAACCGGAUUAGAUACCCGGGUAGUCCUGGCUGUAAACGAUGCGGACUUUGUGUCGGACAAGCUAUGAGCUUGUCCGGUGCCGGAGGGAAACCGUUAAGUCCGCCGCCUGGGGAGUACGGCCGCAAGGCUGAAACUUAAAGGAAUUGGCGGG
rnacentral:rRNA from 1 species